UUUCUAAUAAGUAUUACCAAUCAUCAUGUACUUUGCUGUUGUGAUACCUAAUACGUUAUUUUGUACAAUUUUCUCUUGGGGAGGGGGUUCUCUAGGUAAUAAUAAUAAUGACUUCUAUGAAACUUCCAGAGCAAUAUUCUUUGCAAGAGCUCCUGCUUUUUCAAAGUAACUGUUUUAUAACUCUACCAAACAUAUUCCAUGGCUCUAGUAGAACAAUUGUUCCCACAGAGGGCCUCCUAAAACCAGCAAUCUUACCAAAUAGAGUUGAUAGGCUGAGGAAGUGGUAAAGGUCAUGAAAAGUUAAUACAAAAUAAUAUGUACCUUUAAUCUUAAUUUAUAGGAAUGCUGAUCUAGACUAAACCCAACUUUGGGUCUUUCUUUUUCUUUUUCUUUUUUUUAAGGGGAACCCAACUUUGGGUCUGCUUUACACUAAACACGUAUAAAAUUACCAAUUAUACUCACUGGGUUUUGAUUGUAUGCAGACACAAAUUCUCACUCAAGUAGAAAGUGCUUCUAUAUUUUACUAAUGCUUGUAGUGUGUCAUCUAUGAGCAUGCCCGUAAGGCUGAAAUUUUUGUACAGGGGAAAUUGGUAGAUCCCCAGCGCAAAAAGAGCAAAGCAAGUUUACGGAAGCUUGAUGAGCAGCCUGAAUGGUUGAGGGGAGGAAAGCUGCAUGAUUAUCAGCUUGAGGGUCUGAAUUUUCUUGUUAAUAGUUGGCGAAAUGAUACUAAUGUUAUUUUAGCUGAUGAGAUGGGUCUUGGUAAAACUGUUCAGUCAGUAUCAAUGCUUGGGUUUUUACA